AGCACAGCUUUAUAAAAAGACCGUAUUAAUUUGCUUUAUUGGGUAAUAACGGGGCAUUCGGGACAUACAAUCAUACGCUAGAUGCUGCGUGUAAUAAUUAACAUUGUAAAUCCCUAUCUUUUUUUUUUAUAUAAGUAGAGUACUUUAAAAAGAGUGGACGACUGAGUUCAUAUACAAGCAGACGCCCUUUCAUUUAAUCUCAAUCUUGUUUCAGGCCGGCUUUUGUCCAUAACUGCUACGCUGCGUAAAAAAAAAAUAAGAGAAAUUGAAAAAUAUGGGCGUCGUCUAAGGAUGGUAACUAGCUUCAUUAUACUAUGGGUCUUCCUUCUUUUCCAACGCUUCCACUUUGACCUCAAUCUCUUCUCGAUGGCCUAAGGUAGCAAGGUUGUGUUAAAAAAAACAAAUACAUCAGAGCAAGACACUUUUGGGUUUAUUAGGUAUUAUAGGUAUAGGUCAAUUAAUUUCUUAUCUUUUGUUGAGAGGAUAAGGGUAAUAUUAGCGACCCUUAAGUAAUUUUUGUUCUGUUUUACUUCAGUUUAAUAAAAGCGACUGCCGCCGACCUUACUCCCUUUUUUUUAUUAUGCUCCUCGAGACAAGGUCGCUUAAAAAAAAAAAAAAGCUUAGUCAGACAUGCAAUCAGCGCAAUUUAUGGAAGCUGGAAAGGGGGGCCGCAUUUUAUGCACUAUCUCUUGAAUUCAAAAAGUAAUUCAGGCCAAAUUAACUAAGGAUGCAAAUGAAGCGAGUACUGAACGAAUAGUCAUGUUCUGAAUUUCAAGCAUUCAAAUUUUGCUUUUCAGCGCUGUUCAUCUUAGCGCUUACCAUAAAGAGGAAUACGUAAUUCAACAACGGAGUUGAAAAAUUUUUAAAAUCGUGCCGGUGUUAGUGAGAAGAGGAUGGAGGGAAUUAAUACUUCGAUGGAAGAUGCAACUUGCAAAUGUAGUCCGGUUACCAAGAGACCCAAACCUCUUCCACUUUACUAUUUCUCCUUUGAGAAAUAUAUCAGUUUGCGGUAAUAGGUAAUAUGAAAAAGGCAAUAAAAAAAAGAGAUACUUGUCACCAUCUCGUCUCCCUUUACCUUUUUUACUUAAUCUUCUUCGUCGUCAUCUGUUCCAUCCCUUUCCUAGCUUAGUCUUCUCCGGCUAGUUCUUAGUGCGGUGAGCAAAAAAAAUAGCGUUUUUUUUCCCUCACCAGGACUUUUUUUGUUAACCGAAAAUCGGCAUCUCUAGUUUUCCUGGACAAAAAAGGCAAAAUGGAAAUAAACACUCAUACGAAUCAGUAAAGAUGUAAAUAAUCGCAGUAACGACUGCACAAGGAUGUCAGAAAAAGCAGUUUAAUUCCAGAAGUGGUUUUCCAAUUUAUCACACAUGUACAUGAAGGGAAAUGUAUAAAUACGGUCUUCGUAAAACAAAGGAUCUCUUCACCUGGUUUCUUCAUUUAUAAG